rnacentral:rRNA from 1 species
GACGUAGGGCGCAAGCGUUGUCCGGAUUUACUGGGCGUAAAGAGCGCGCAGGCGGUCGUUCAAGUCGAGUGUGAAAGCCCCCGGCUCAACUGGGGAGGGUCACUCGAUACUGAUCGACUCGAAGGCAGGAGAGGGUAGUGGAAUUCCCGGUGUAGUGGUGAAAUGCGUAGAUAUCGGGAGGAACACCCGUGGCGAAGGCGGUGUGCUGGGUUGCAACUGACGCUGAGAUGCGAAAGUGUGGGGAGCAAACGGG